CAAGUUACUCUCGGAAAGCUAGGCCUAUGGGUGUGUACGCUUGCUCCGGAGGCUAUAUGAGCGAAAUUUGUGCAAGCCAUUGAACGUUUAAGGGGAGUCAAUCGGCAAAUGGCAGAUACAGUUCCCUGAACAGUCUAGCCUGACUGUCAAAGGUCGAUAAUCCAUCUCUCUACGCUGCGUCAUACGUUUCCUGCAUCGUCCUGGGCCCUGUAUCCUUUUGGGGCCCUUUCGCCCGGCUCUGGGGUGAUGAAAUACUAAUGGCUCCGGAUACUCCACCCCGAAUGAGGGGCCGCUCAUACCGAAAUCGGUAUACCUGCUUGCGCGAAACACACCUUCCUGGCCACCAUGACCGGAUUUGAUAUUGACGGGGUUUGUGUUAUGAGAUUUGUAAUUGCGGAUUUCUGGCGUUGUUAGGGAAAACGAGGGAGUUUGACAAAGCGAUUGGAGGAUCAUUCGCACCGAUGCAUCGGAUCUGGUAGUAUUUGGUUCAAGGAAGAAAUUCAGUCACUGAAUCUUCACAUUCUAAAAACUCAUUCCAUUAGGCAUCUAUGAAACUCCUGAACUACAUUGAAAUGAAACCGCGAAGUAGGAA
rnacentral:sRNA from 1 species